rnacentral:rRNA from 1 species
UACGGGGGGGGCAAGCGUUGUUCGGAAUUACUGGGCGUAAAGGGCUCGUAGGCGGCCAACUAAGUCAGACGUGAAAUCCCUCAGCUUAACUGGGGAACUGCGCCUGAUACUGGAUGGCUUGGAUUUGGGAGAGGGAUGCGGAAUUCCAGGUGUAGCGGUGAAAUGCGUAGAUAUCAGGAGGAACACCGAUGGCGAAGGCAGAUCUCUGGGCCGUAACUGACGCUGAGGAGCGAAAGCAUGGGGAGCGAACAGG